AGCCCUCUGUAUCCGUGCUGAGAUUUCGUUGGAGAUCAACCCGUUUCGACUAAUGGUGCUUCUCAGAUAAGUGAAGCU
rnacentral:pre_miRNA from 1 species